rnacentral:misc_RNA from 1 species
GGAAGUAAAAGUUGUAACAAGGUCUCCGUUGGUGAACCAGCGGAGGGAUCAUUACAGAGUUGCAAAACUCCCAAACCCUUGUGAACAUACCCGUUACAGUUGCUUCGGUGGGCGGCCCCAGGGCGGGGCCGCAGCCUCUUCUCACGAGGCGCCCGCCGGAGGUAUAUAACUCUUUGUAUUAUGGUCUCUCUGAGUAAAUUUAUAAUAAGUCAAAACUUUUAACAACGGAUCUCUUGGUUCUG